GACGAACGCUGGCGGCGCGCUUAACACAUGCAAGUCGAACGGAAAGGCCUGCUUUCCCUUGUGGAUUGCGGGUACUCGAGUGGCGAACGGGUGAGUAACACGUGAGUGAUCUGCCCCCAACUUGGGUAUAAGCCUGGGAAACUGGGUCUAAUUCCCGAUAGGACUGCAGGGUGGUGCCUGUGUUGGAAAACGAUUUUCUAGUGGUUGGGGAUGAGCUCGCGGCCUAUCAGCUUGUUGGUGGGGUAAUGGCCUACCAAGGCGGCGACGGGUAGCCGGCCUGGGAGGGUGGACGGCCACAUUGGGACUGAGAUACGGCCCAGACUCCUACGGGAGGCAGCAGUGGGGAAUAUUGCACAAUGGGCGGAAGCCUGAUGCAGCGACGCCGCGUGGGGGAUGACGGCCUUCGGGUUGUAAACUCCUUUCGACCGCGAGGAAGCCACCUGGUUGGAAGGGUGGUGACGGUAGUGGUAGAAGAAGCACCGGCUAACUACGUG
rnacentral:rRNA from 1 species